UACGUAGGGGGCAAGCGUUGUCCGGAAUCAUUGGGCGUAAAGAGCGCGUAGGCGGUCCGGUAAGUCCGCUGUGAAAGUCAAGGGCUCAACCCUUGAAUGCCGGUGGAUACUGUCGGGCUAGAGUCCGGAAGAGGCGAGUGGAAUUCCUGGUGUAGCGGUGAAAUGCGUAGAUAUCAGGAGGAACACCGGUGGUGUAAACGGCUUUCUGGACCAUAACUGACGCUGAGGCACGAAAGCGUGGGGAGCGAACAGG
rnacentral:rRNA from 1 species